AUGAGUGGGCGGAAGAGGCAGAGGGGAGACACAACAGACCGUCAGCCAACCUGCCCUUCCGAGGAUGGACACCUCCCACCACUGAGCAAGGCUACGCUUCAGGGGCGCUCACUCGUAAAAAUGGAAACUAAACAGCACGAAGGAAGUGAGGAAGAGAAUCAUUUCUCUUGUUUCCCACACCAUCAGACAACUAUCAUGAGGGCCAUUCACUCUCUUCUUAUAUUUCCAUCCCUGCCAUUUCCAAGAAAGGUAUGUAUCUUCAGGGUGGCAUCAUGGGCAAGAUACAUAGGAGGUAGGAAGCUGCCAAACACCAGGAAAAGGCUCUCAGGAUUUUCAGGAAACUAAUGUCAAUAAUGAAGCAUGAGUGUGAAUGAUUUUCCUUGGAAUCAGUGAACAAACACCACUCCUCUCCAACCUUUGCCUCGCUUGUCCUUUUUGAUAACUGCGUCAGAGGACAGAGAUCUGGCUGCUAGCCCAUACCAGAAAGGGGAGAUAAGAGGACAAGAAUUAGAUUCUUGGAGGACUGGAGAACAAAAUCCUAUCUGGGAUUACUAAAUUCGAACUACCAGGAGUUAGUCCUGGGCUCCAGGUCACACAGUGACAUUCCUCUUUCUUAAGAUUGGAAUAAUUGUGCUAAAAUUUUGAAGUCAGCUUUUGGCCCUUUCGUGGGAUGGAGUGAAAGGCAUGUUGGGUUCACGGACGUGUGGGAAUGGAUAGAAAAAGUUCCAUGUGCUGCGUGUGUAUGCACGUACUUUUGUGUGUGUAUGUGCGUAUGAUGGGUGUGUAUGUGUGUCUAAGCACACACACCUCCAGAAUACAAAGGAAUGUUCAGGAACCAAGUGUGAACUCUUUCCUAAGUGUGCUGUUGGCACACAUAAGAAGGGAGCAUUUUGACCAGAAUCACUUUCCAUGAACCUGUCAGCCAAGGGACUCUGGCAGAAAAAUACCUUUGCUGGAGGAGCCUCACUUUCCAGCCGGGCUGAACUGAGGAUCCUGUAUCCUGUCCUAGCUCAGAGAUGAGCUGCAAAGGCAGGAGCUAGCCAGUCAGCUGGAUUGUUAAAGGAUUGUAAAGAUUCGAUUCAGGCCUUUGAGUACAUGUACAUGGCAACAACCACCUCCACUUGAUUAGAUGCACAAAGAUUUCCAAUUCAAUCACGUUAUUUAAGGGAGCCAAGGGCCAUUAGGAAACAGGCUUGAUGGAAUGCCACAGGGAUUUUCUUAAGGUAUGUGUGUUUGAUGAUCCAUCUGGCUUUUCUUAGCUAUGCUUUUUAUAUUCUUCAGAGACACCAUUAAAGGCGAAGAGAGGGUCGAUGGUUUUUGACAAAGGUUUGUAUUUCUAUGCAUGAAAAUUGUUAAUUUGAGUUUUUAGGUUCCUGGGUCUUGAGUAAUAUUAACAUGUUAACAGAAUUUUAGAAUCAUUAGGCCUCUCAGCAUGCAAGCUCUAAAGGAAUGGUCCCCAUCAAGUAGCAUAUAUUAUGUAUAAUAUAUUGAUCAUUUAAUAUAUGUAAUAUAUUUAUGUAUAUAGAGAGGAUUAUAAUGUAUAUAUUACAUAUACAAUUAUUUAUAUGCUGUAUGUGUGUACCUAUUAUGUAUAUAUAAGAUGUAAUUAUGUAUAAAUGUAUAAUAAAUAACCUAGCUAAUUAUAAACUUGUUUAGGAAUUUCACAUAUGCACACUUUUGAACUAGAGGGAGGGAACAGAGCACAUUUGGCCAAAUUCAGAAGCCUCUUGAAUCAUGUUGGGUGGUUGGUGUGAAGCCACACUUAAACUUUAGAGAUGAUAAAAUCUGUUUGCCCUUAGUAAAAUACAAUUUCCUGUUUGCGGGCCUGAGAGGAGGAAAGACUUUUAAAAGAGGCUUAUUAAAAUCUCUGAAAGUGGGGAUCCCUGCGUGGCUCAGUGGUUUGGCGCCUGCCUUUGGCCCAGGGUGCGAUCUUGGAGACCUGGGAUCGAGUCCUGCAUCGGGCUCUGGGCAUGGAGCCUGCUUCUCCCUCUGCCUGUGUUGUGUCUCUGCCUCUCUCUCUCUUUCUAUGUCUAUGAUGAAUAAAUAAAAUCUUAAAAAAAAAAAAUCUCUGAAAGUGUUGUUGAACAUUUAAAAAAAAACACAGUUGCUUGUAUUAAGUACAAAUGUACUAGAAACAUAGGGGUUAUAUUUCACCUAAAGUACACAUGAAUUAAAAAGUCUAGGAAGGGAGAGAUGUGGUUCAACUAAAAUAGUUGAAAAAUAAUUGGUGACAUUUGACAAAAUCAAGAUAUUACCAUAUUUGUGUACUUCCCCUUGGACUGAACCUCUUAUCUAUGUAAAACAAGAGGCCUUAAUCUCUAACUCACUUUAUGGUGCUGGAUCAGUGUGAUUUAUGAAAACAUAGAAGGUUUUAAAGCAACACAAAUUCACCAGUGAAACUCUCCAGACACACAGGAUGUGACUUUGGCAUUGACUGACUCUUCAGCAUUUAAUUGGUACUGCAGCGAAGACAUUUUAUCAGAGGCCCAGAGGGCUGAUACUUAACCCAGGGUAGUGAGGACUGGGUGGUGAGAAGAGGUUAGCAGUCACAUUGGGCUGGACCCCCACCAUCUGGAAGGGAUCUGCAGGCUAAGGUCUAAGAGGGGGAGAGGAAGUGUG
rnacentral:lncRNA from 1 species